UAGGGAAUCUUCGGCAAUGGACGGAAGUCUGACCGAGCAACGCCGCGUGAGUGAAGAAGGUUUUCGGAUCGUAAAGCUCUGUUGUUAGAGAAGAACGUUGGUAGGAGUGGAAAAUCUACCAAGUGACGGUAACUAACCAGAAAGGGACGGCUAACUACGUGCCAGCAGCCGCGGUAAUACGUAGGUCCCGAGCGUUGUCCGGAUUUAUUGGGCGUAAAGCGAGCGCAGGCGGUUCUUUAAGUCUGAAGUUAAAGGCAGUGGCUUAACCAUUGAACGCGUUGGAAACUGGAGGACUAGAGUGCAGAAGGGGAGAGUGGAAUUCCAUGUGUAGCGGUGAAAUGCGUAGAUAUAUGGAGGAACACCGGUGGCGAAAGCGGCUCUCUGGUAUGUAACUGACGCUGAGGGUCGAAAGCGUGGGGAGCAAACAGG
rnacentral:rRNA from 1 species